rnacentral:rRNA from 1 species
AGAUUGAACGCUGGCGGCAGGCCUAACACAUGCAAGUCGAGCGGUAGAGAGGUGCUUGCACCUCUUGAGAGCGGCGGACGGGUGAGUAAUGCCUAGGAAUCUGCCUAGUGGUGGGGGAUAACGUUCGGAAACGGACGCUAAUACCGCAUACGUCCUACGGGAGAAAGCGGGGGACCUUCGGGCCUCGCGCCAUUAGAUGAGCCUAGGUCGGAUUAGCUAGUUGGUGAGGUAAUGGCUCAACCAAGGGCGAACGAUCCGUAACUGGUCUGAGAGGAUGAUCAGUCACACUUGGAACUGAGACACGGUCCA